rnacentral:rRNA from 1 species
AUGCAAGUCGAGGGGAAACGGCAUUGAGUGCUUGCACUGAAUGGACGUCGACCGGCGCACGGGUGAGUAACGCGUAUCCAACCUUCCCAUAACUAAGGGAUAACCUGCCGAAAGGCAGACUAAUACCUUAUGUAAUUCUUGGAUGACAUCAGAAGAGAAUGAAAGAUUUAUCGGUUAUGGAUGGGGAUGCGUCUGAUUAGCUUGUUGGCGGGGUAACAGCCCACCAAGGCAACGAUCAGUAGGGGUUCUGAGAGGAAGGUCCCCCACAUUGGAACUGAGACACGGUCCAAACUCCUACGGGAGGCAGCAGUGAGGAAUAUUGGUCAAUGGGCGAGAGCCUGAACCAGCCAAGUAGCGCGCAGGAUGACGGCCCUAUGGGUUGUAAACUGCUUUUGUAUGGGGAUAAAGUCAAUCACGUGUGAUUGUUUGCAGGUACCAUACGAAUAAGGACCGGCUAAUUCCGUGCCAGCAGCCGCGGUAAUACGGAAGGUUCGGGCGUUAUCCGGAUUUAUUGGGUUUAAAGGGAGCGUAGGCCGGAGAUUAAGUGUGUUGUGAAAUGUAGACGCUCAACGUCUGACUUGCAGCGCAUACUGGUUUCCUUGAGUACGCACAACGUUGGCGGAAUUCGUCGUGUAGCGGUGAAAUGCUUAGAUAUGACGAAGAACUCCGAUUGCGAAGGCAGCUGACGGGAGCGCCACUGACGCUUAAGCUCGAAGGUGCGGGUAUCGAACAGGAUUAGAUAACCUGGUAGUCCGCACAGUAAACGAUGGAUGCCCGCUGUUGGUACCUAGUAUCAGCGGCUAAGCGAAAGCAUUAAGCAUCCCACC